UUCAUCUUUGGGAACCACACAAGAGAGGAACUUCUUUUUCAUCCUUUCUCAUCCUCUCUUUGUUUUCUCUUUCUCUUCCCUCUUUCUCUUUCUUUCUGUCUUCUCUUUCUUACAAAAGUAGAACCACAAAAGUCAUGUAAUCUGAUUUGAAAAAAAUUAGGUUUCCAACAAAUAUUUUCAUUCCCUGUUUCUCUCGCUCUCCACGCCUUUCCUUUCUCUCUUCUAUCUUCUCUCUUCUCAUCUCUUCCCCCUCCCAAACCCUAAAGCCGCAGCUGCACGUUUCACCGCCGCUACCCUUCUCAUAUCUACACGUUUUUCCUUUUCGUUUUCUUUAACUUAUUAUUUUUAACUUUCUCUGUUUUACCAUGUUUGUGGGUUUAGAACAUUGAUAGUUUUAUUUUGGUUUGUUUGUGUUUUUUAUAUCUUCAUGUUGUUUGUGUUUGUUAAUGUUUUUCUGUUAAAACCUUAUAUUCAUCACUGAUUACAAUUGUUUUGAUUUGUUGACAGGUUUGGAGUUUUCCCCUUAUUUUGCAGAUUUUCUUACUCGGUUGUACUCUUCGUCGUCCAUGGUUUUGCUUCGUCAAGCGACUCAACAACAACGUUUCUUCUUCGAUUUUCUCAAUCCUUGAUAAAACCCUCUCAUCAUUGCAAUAUUCGAGGUCUUCAAUUUUCAAUUUCACUUUAUUUUUUUUCAAUUCAAAUUUCUAGGGUUUUUGUUUUUGUAAAUUCGUAAUGCUUUUCGUUUUUGUUGUUUUCUAAUUUAGGUAGUUCGUUACUUCAUUCUUUUCCUUUUCUGUUGAUUCGUCUAUUAGGGUUUCAUUUUCUUAUACUCGUGAGUCUAUUUUUAUCUUUUACUGAAAAAAAUCGAAAUCAUGUUUUCGAGUAAAUUGUAAUGGAAGCAAUAUAGGGUAGAAGAUUUAUUUGUUUUCUCUGGUAAAAAAAUACACACUUGCUUUCUGAUAAAAACCACUGUUGAUUAUACUAUAUUAUUAUACCAAAAUUAUAUUUGUUUAUUAUCAAGCUAUCAUAUCAUAUGAUUUAUUAUAUAUUAGUAUUAAUUUAAUUUAAUUAAAUCAAGUUCUCCGAGUUCAGAUUGUGCAGUGGAACUUUCUAAUGCUUUGUUAUUGCUUAAUGUGGUAGUAUAUAAUGUAAUGAUAUAAGGAAGUAAGUUAAGAGAAAACAAAGAUGGGUGUGACUUUACUUAAGUACCUAAAAUAUAAUUCUCAAUAAAUAUGAUGGCAGAUUUAAAGACAUAUUUCAGGAGGUAUAUGAAGAAAGGUUGCAGCAAAAGUUUGAAGAACAUUCAAUAUGGGUUGUUUUGAUGUCCAUGAACUAAUUAUUUUUUAUGCAAUUUUGUAGCUAAUAUCUCCCUGUUAUGUACAAAAAUCUUAUUUGUCUGCAGAUUAGACUAUGCUCUACAAUGAAAUAUUUCUGUGGAGCCAAGAAAGACUCAAUCCUUGGCGAGGGCCUUAUAAAACUAGGACAAUCCCGAGAUGAUAAAUUGAGAUGAGUGACACUCAAAGUAGAUGAAGGGGAUAUUACUUUUGCAUUGCAGGUAAUCUUUCAUCACUUGGUUUUUAAUCCCCCUAAGAUUAUUGUGCUUGAGUUGAUAGUUAUCACUGUUUCUUUGCCACUAAUAAAUUUCAUCAAACACGGUAUCCGCUUUUUUCGAAAUUGUUUUCAAUGAUCUUGCUUACUGGUGGUGGCAACAGUUUCAGAAGCAAGAGAUUUUAGAGAAAUUUCCUGCUUACUGGUGGUGGCAACAGUGUCAGAAGCAAGAGAUUUUAGAGGAAUUUUAUUUAUUUAUUUCUAGAGAAUAAUAUAGCAAUUGAUGUAAUCAUUAAUUAUAAACAUUAAGAUUUCACAUUAAUAAAGUGAUUCUUUUCUCAUACUAUACCAGCCUCAAAUAUUGAGUUUUGAGAUUCAUUGCACAAUCUUCAAUCCAAUGCAGUAAUUACACACUUCAAUUGAUAUAUGGUUGAUUCUUAUUAG